UUAGUCCUUGAGCCGCCCGAGGUUAUGAAGCCCUUUUUGCUGACUUUGGCCGUGUUCCUGCUCUUGUCUUGGGUCAUGUCAGGGUCAGAAUGUGAAUGGAUUGCUUGUGUCCGCUGACGGAAGACACAUGCCUGAAACACUGUCCACCUGGGGAAGAGGGAGACGCCUCCAAAUCCCGAGCAGUGCUGAAAAGUGCUGGAAGCUUCGUGGCUCCUGCCGUGAGAAAUGCAUCAAGAAUGAAAAGGUUUACAUUUUCUGCAUGAGUG